UUUUAUUUUUAUAUUUUGAAGUGAAUUUUGUGAUUAAUUGCUGUUUUUUGGAUUUUAAAGUUCUUGUAAUUGUUUGGUUUGCUUAGUAUGUUGCUGUGGAAUCUUCAUUUAAUUGCGAGUUACUAACUCUCAAUUCCAGUUCUGUACUCGUGCCAAAUGCUAUCAAGCAUUGGGAUUAACUGGACACUCGUCAUAUUAGGGAUCUGAGAUACUAUAUGAAAAUUUCAAUAUUGAAUCUAUCUUUUACCAAUUGAGAGUAAGGCAGUGGCGUCAAUGGUAAGUGAUUAUUAAGAUUUUUCAUGUUAAAAUGCCAUAAAAAAUAUUGUGGGUGUGUGAUUUAGUUUCGUGAAAAAUUUGAUUUACAGCGGAAUGCUUUUUGAAACUCAUAAUUUACUCUUCCGACUAAAAUUAGAAAGAAAUAUGUCCCUAAUUACGAUAUUGAUUCGUUUCUAGUUGACAUCUACUGGUCACAUUCUGUCCAUGUGCAAUUAUGUUCCUGUAAUUGAAUUUGGUACUUUAAAGGGAUUUCAAUGGGUUUUCUCCUUCAACAUGCACUGCUGUCCGAGUGCCCAGAUUUGAUACAUUUCACUCACGAUAACUGGUUAUGAAAGUUUUUUGGGCGGGAUUAUGAAGCUGGCAACCAUCCCUUUUACUAAACUGGUAGCUCCUUUGAGCAGGAUAUUUGGGUGGAUUUUCAUAUAUUAUAGCAUAGCAAUUGAUAUUUGCUUCCAGCGUAUGUUAUGAUGUUAAUAGUUUAUGUAUGUUAAUCAAUUAAUAUUUUAAUGUGCAGUCUGAACUUUUUCUCAUCAUUGGUCUAUUCCCUGCUAGGCGCAGUCAAAUUAUUGUAUCUCCAGAUUCAGUGAUGACUUUAAUUUGCAAGGCUCCUUGCGUGAUAAACGACAAUCAUCCUCUAAAUGAACUAAAGGUUACUUACACUGGUGACUAAACCUUGAUUAUGAAGAAACACAAUUUCUGACUUCUUUAGAUAAUGCAUAACCAUGCAUGCGAAUGUGAAUUGUACAGCUUCAUGUAUUUUUCUUACCUGGCUUCUUGAUAGAAAUAUACAAUGUAUCAUCAGUUAUCGAUAUUAUAUCCUUUUGAUGGCAACUGUUACUGAUCUACAGCUCAAUGUUCUGAGCUCUAUCCCUUCUCUCCUUUGCCGUUCUUACCAUUUGCAUUGCUCAAAUUGUAUCCUUUAUCAUAGAUGCAUUUUCUAUUCACUUUUGGUGAGGGCAAGUAGACCACCUAUACUUAGUACUUGAUUUCAAAAUGCAAGCGAAAGGAACCUUGCACGACUCACUUCUUCAACGAAGAAAAAAAAAUAUUUUUUAAUUAAUCAUAUAUAUAUAAUUUAUAGUUAAUUAACCCAGAUGACACCCAGGAGCUUGGAUCUCUCUCAUGCAUCAUUGGAAAUAUAAGGCUGAGGGCCAUCAGCCAUGUAGGAGUUCAGAUAUUAGCUUCUUCAUUAUUUCAUAUUCUGUGGUGGGGAUGCUACCUAGUGCAGUCUUUGUUAAAGUUAUACAUAAAAUCUCUUAAAGCUAGGGUUUAUCAGAUAUUAGAGAAACCCACAACAGUUCUAGCGACAGAAAUCAUCAAUUUUUUAAGUCUUCUGUUGGUAACUCUAAAUGUAGCAGGUAAUAAUCUUGUGAAGCGUGAAAGUACUUUUCACCUAAUAUUCAUGUUUUCUGAAUUUGUUAAAGAUGCAUCAUAAUGAUUGUAUCAUAGUAUCUUCUAUUUUUUUGUUUCACGUUUGAUUUCUGAUUUUAUAUGAGCUAAGAUGUUCAAUUAAGCACUUUUGGGAUUUUAUUGAGAACUUAAUCAAUAUCUUUCAGAUAACAAAUACCAUCCAGACGAAAUUUAUUGUUUCUUCGUCCCAGCUCCUGUAUCAAUCUUGUCCUUAUCAAACAAUUACCCUGCUUCUAUCUGGCUCAUUUAUUGACAAGAUUUUGACUAACUGAAAUACAUUUUCUUUCAACAAUGUGCUAAUUAUACAAGCAAGUAAUUUGAUUUCCAGAUCUUUGUCACUAUUGUUUUCCCCUAUAACUAGUACCAGACUUGAUUUCAUCGUCAGAUUAAAAGAUUUUUGUUGUUUAGUCCUACCUGAUGCAUGCCUUUGUAAUUUUUUUUUUUUUGCACAUUCCUUUUUGAUCGGUAUAACAUGUCUGUUGCAUAUCAGGUUCUUUACCAUAUCACGACUUGUAGGUACCUGAUUUUUGGUUUACUUCGAGAUUCAUUCUGUGAAGUAACAUCUUUUGCAUAAUGAUUGCUUUGUUUGGUUAUCUGUCAUCCCAGGUAAUCAUAAAAAAACUCGCAGAAGUAUCAUCACAGCUUCGCGCACAAGAUGUUUCAUGUUAUUCCUUGAAAUCUUGCAACAUACUAUUCAGUAUAUUCUAUCUACAAUGAGAAGGAUGUGGAAUGGCUUUAUGCUUCACUAAUUUCCCUGUUUGUGCACCUUUCCAUCUAAAUGAAGCUGUAUCUGAUCCUUUUUUACAUGUGGAGAAUGAAACUGGGACAUAAAAUAAUGAUGCAGCCCCAAAGCCCACUCAGUGUAAAUCAGCAAGCAUUUUGCCCGUAAUAUUGUAGAGAUUGUUAACACUACAAUGGGCUUGACUUAUACUACUGCUUACUAGGGGGUGCCAAGAAGACAAAAGCUUUUCCAGUUUAAAAAACAAUCACACAAAUUCAAGGAACUUGCCCCUCAAAAAACCUUGAGGCUUACACCUUGCUGAUUGACAUAAAAUGCCUUGGUGUCUGAUUGAAACUUUCCAAACAUUGAUUAUGACAUAAAGAUCAGAGAGUGAAAUGUCUGAAAUUUACUGCCAGAAACUCACAUGCGAAGCAAAUGGUCGGCAAAGUUCCUUGAAAUGAAACAUUUCCCAUGGCAAUGUAAAGAGGGUGAGGUCCAGAAAGUAGGAAAUCAGGAUUCAUGAUUUUCCAGGCAUGAGUGGUCUACUCUUUAUCAAAUGAGGUUUAUGGAGGAAAAUCAUCUUGUGGAGAUGGAUGGAACAUAGCUAUAGGCAUAGCUGUUCGGGGAGAUGGAGGUAGACUAUUAUCCUUGUUCCAUUUUUUAUACAUCUAGUUGCAAUCAUCAUCAUCAUGCCAUCCAAUAGGAAUGAUAGGUUUAUCAUCUAUAGGGGGUGGAGUAUAUUUGACAUAAUAGUCAAAUUUUCCAGAGGGUUUUCCUAACAAAUCAACUCCUGCAGACUUGCUUUCAUAGGCUUCUCUCAAUCUUUGUUGGCUACUCCUUUUCUUCUUUUUCUUUUUGAGAGGCUUAUCUUCAAGUAAAGUUUCUUCAUCCUUUAUACAUUUUGCACAAAAACAUACAUCCCAGAAUAUAUGUCCUGAAUCAUUAGAUCUGCAAUAAAUAGGUCUUCCAUUUACAUCAAACUCAAAGAUUCGUAUUUCUUCAUUUGAGAAGGCAAACUGUGUAGAAAAACAGGAAGGCUUUUUUAGGUUGGAGAUUCUUUUUGAAACAUAAUUUCAACUUCACCGUUUGACUUUUUUCUAAAAUGAUGGGUGGACCGGUAAAGAAUCCUUCGACGCCUUGUGAUGCUGCUCAUAACUAGUAACCCAAGUUUUUGGAAUUAUUUAAUGAGCUUCGGUCUAGGAAUCUAUCUAGAAACAUAUAUACAGCUUGGCUGAUCUAUUUCCAUUUGGAUGAAUAAAGCAUCAUCUAUACCAUGAGGAGCGGGAAAAUCAAGAGAAUGAUUUUGAAUUCUAUAGGCCAUCUGAUAGUGAAGAGUUGCUCCAUAUGUGACCGCUUUUGGAACUACAGCAAGAAUUUGAACCCAUAUUUUCAGGGUUGAUAAUAGCACUGGAUCUGCUAUUGGCAGGUUAAAAUUCGAAAACAUUGUAACAAGUAUUGUUCCCGCAUUUAAUGUUGUUUCAACAGUGCCAAUACAAGCGUGUUGAUAAUAAGCAAAACGUAUAUCCAAUAUGGCAAUUCUAGAAACUGCUGGAAGUCCCUUUCUUCAAUGGAGAGUAAGUGCGAAUCUCACAGCUCCGAAAUGGAUGAGUAAAACCUUCAGAUAACCAUAUUUUUGGAAGAUGGGACUGUAUAUCCAAGGUGACAAACUGCUCAUUUUCAGUAGCAGGUAGAAGAUGUUGAUCAAACUUUGAGACUUGACAUAUUCUUUGAUUUGGGAUUUUGAUGGAGAUAUAAGGCUUUGGACGAUUUUGGUAAAGGAGUCACGUGGCUUAUUAUAAGGGAGAUAUGGGUUAAUAAGGGGUAGAUCUGUAACUGCAACUUUCUCAGAAUCAGGAAGAUAUGAUAUUUCAUUAAGAGAGUCGAUUUUAAAAGAAUUAGAUUUUCGAAGGGAGGUGGAUAGAAAUAGUAUAGAAGAGCUAGGAAUAACCCCAAUCAGUAAUAAUAAGAACAAGAUAAAAACAUGACUCUGAUACCAAUAGAGUGGGGGUAUGACAAGCUUUUUAUGUCGAGCUAGAAGAAUGGUAGGAUACCAAGGAAGAAGAGGAUUUAAGUCCCUUGUACAGA